AUUGAACGCUGGCGGCAGGCCUAACACAUGCAAGUCGAGCGGAUGAAGGGAGCUUGCUCCUGGAUUCAGCGGCGGACGGGUGAGUAAUGCCUAGGAAUCUGCCUGGUAGUGGGGGAUAACGUCCGGAAACGGGCGCUAAUACCGCAUACGUCCUGAGGGAGAAAGUGGGGGAUCUUCGGACCUCACGCUAUCAGAUGAGCCUAGGUCGGAUUAGCUAGUUGGUGGGGUAAAGGCCUACCAAGGCGACGAUCCGUAACUGGUCUGAGAGGAUGAUCAGUCACACUGGAACUGAGACACGGUCCAGACUCCUACGGGAGGCAGCAGUGGGGAAUUUUGGACAAUGGGCGAAAGCCUGCUCCAGCCAUGCCGGGUGUGUGAAGAAGGUCUUCGGAUUGUAAAGCACUUUAAGUUGGGAGGAAGGGCAGUAAGUUAAUACCUUGCUGUUUUGACGUUACCAACAGAAUAAGCACCGGCUAACUUCGUG
rnacentral:rRNA from 1 species